rnacentral:rRNA from 1 species
UACGUAGGGUGCGAGCGUUAAUCGGAAUUACUGGGCGUAAAGCGUGCGCAGGCGGUUUUGUAAGCCAGAUGUGAAAUCUCCGGGCUUAACUCGGAACGGUCAAGUGAUACUGUCGUGCUAGAGUACAGAAGGGGCAACUGGAAUUCUCGGUGUAGCGGUGAAAUGCGUAGAUAUUGGGAAGAACACCAAUUGCGAAGGCAGCUCGCUGGGACGUUACUGACGCUGAGACGCGAAAGCGUGGGGAGCAAACAGG